CGUGAAUAGUUCGUCGAUAGAGACAAGCUUCUGUUGCGCAGAUAUUUGCUGACAAUUUAUUCUACUAGUGGAUGACUGACUGGCACGCAUGAUGAUGCAUGUGGUCGUCUGGGAGUCGAUCGCUGAAUGACAAAGGCUUCCUCAAAUGCCAAAGUUUGGAAGGAGAAGUUUCUUCCUCCUCUGGAAGAGUCAAGGUUUUGUUCGGUUGUUGAGCUGUUCAUGUCAAGGGUUUAUGACUUGUUGGCAGAUGUUGAAUCACAUGGUCACCUAAAUUAUUGCUUCGAUCUUAGUUAACAUAAUAUCAGAUGUAACAGCACACGAGUACGUACCAUGAGGUACUUGAGUUGAGC
rnacentral:lncRNA from 1 species